AAAAAAAACAAACCCUGGUUUCUGUGUCCAAUGACCGUCCGUCUUAUUUAAAAAAAUUAUGAAAAAAAUUAAAAAGACAAGUCACGCAUAAAAUAUUAAUCAUGUCUUAUCAUCUAACAACAAUAAAAACACGAAGUAUAAAAAAAUUUCAUAUAAGACGGACAGUUAAAGUUAGACACAGAAUCCCAGGGUUUGCCUUUUU
rfam:Oryza glaberrima chromosome 9 Oglab09_0197_1, whole genome shotgun sequence.